rnacentral:rRNA from 1 species
AACGAACGCUGGCGGCAUGCCUAACACAUGCAAGUCGAACGAGACCUUCGGGACUAUUGGCGCACGGGUGCGUCACGCGUGGGAACCUGCACUUAGGUUCGGAAUAACUCCCCGACAGGGGUGCCAAUACCGGAUAAUGUCUUCGGACCAAGGAUUUAUCGCAUCUGGAUGGGCCCGCGUUGGAUUAGCUAGUUGGUAGGGUAAAAGCCUACCAAGGCGACGAUUCAUAGCUGGUCUGAGAGGCUGAUCAGCCACACUGGGACUGAGACACGGCCCAGACUCCUACGGGAGGCAGCAGUGGGGAAUGUUGGACAAUGGGCGAAAGCCUGAUCCAGUACGGCCGCGUGAGUUAUGAAGGCCUUAGGGUUGUAAAGCUCUUUUACCCGGGAUGGUAUUGACAGUACCGGGAGAAAAAGCUCCGGCUAACUCCGUG